UAGCAUCAACUGGUAGAGCAUGGCAUUAGCACUGCCAGGGUUAAGGGUUCGAUUCUCCACUAAGGCCA